UUGCACGCUGGCGGCCGGCCUAACACAUGCAAGUCGCGCGGAUGAAGGGAGCUUGCUCCUGGAUUCAGCGGCGGACGGGUGAGUAAUGCCUAGGAAUCUGCCUGGUAGUGGGGGAUAACGUCCGGAAACGGGCGCUAAUACCGCAUACGUCCUGAGGGAGAAAGUGGGGGAUCUUCGGACCUCACGCUAUCAGAUGAGCCUAGGUCGGAUUAGCUAGUUGGUGGGGUAAAGGCCUACCAAGGCGACGAUCCGUAACUGGUCUGAGAGGAUGAUCAGUCACACUGGAACUGAGACACGGUCCAGACUCCUACGGGAGGCAGCAGUGGGGAAUAUUGGACAAUGGGCGAAAGCCUGAUCCAGCCAUGCCGCGUGUGUGAAGAAGGUCUUCGGAUUGUAAAGCACUUUAAGUUGGGAGGAAGGGCAGUAAGUUAAUACCUUGCUGUUUUGACGUUACCAACAGAAUAAGCACCGGCUAACUUCGUG
rnacentral:rRNA from 1 species